rnacentral:rRNA from 1 species
GACGAACGCUGGCGGCGUGCUUAACACAUGCAAGUCGAACGGAAAGGCCCUGCUUUUGUGGGGUGCUCGAGUGGCGAACGGGUGAGUAACACGUGAGUAACCUGCCCUUGACUUUGGGAUAACUUCAGGAAACUGGGGCUAAUCCCGUAUAGGAUCUCCUGCUGCAUGGAGGGGGUGGGAAAGUUUCGGCGGUCGGGGAUGGACGGGCGGCUUAUCGGCUUGCUGGUUGGGUAGUGGCUUGCCAAGGCUGUGGCGGGUCCCCGGCCUGAGAGGGUGGCCGGCCACCAUAGGCCUACGGUACGCCGCAGUGUCCAAUGGGAGGCAGCGGUGGGAAAUCUUACCCAAUGAGCCGAAGCCUGAUGCAGAAACGCCGCGUGCGUGAUGCCGGCCUUCGGGUUAUGAACCGCUUUCGCCUGUGACGCAGCGUGAGUGACGGUACUGAAUAAAGAAGCACCGGCUAACUACGUG